rnacentral:rRNA from 1 species
GAUGAACGCUGGCGGCGUGCCUAAUACAUGCAAGUCGAGCGAACAGAUGAGGAGCUUGCUCCUCUGACGUUAGCGGCGGACGGGUGAGUAACACGUGGAUAACCUACCUAUAAGACUGGGAUAACUUCGGGAAACCGGAGCUAAUACCGGAUAAUAUAUUGAACCGCAUGGUUCAAUAGUGAAAGACGGUUUUGCUGUCACUUAUAGAUGGAUCCGCGCCGCAUUAGCUAGUUGGUAAGGUAACGGCUUACCAAGGCAACGAUGCGUAGCCGACCUGAGAGGGUGAUCGGCCACACUGGAACUGAGACACGGUCCAGACUCCUACGGGAGGCAACAGUAGGGAAUCUUCCGCAAUGGGCGAAAGCCUGACGGAGCAACGCCGCGUGAGUGAUGAAGGUCUUCGGAUCGUAAAACUCUGUUAUUAGGGAAGAACAGAUGUGUAAGUAACUAUGCACGUCUUGACGGUACCUAAUCAGAAAGCCACGGCUAACUACGUG